rnacentral:piRNA from 1 species
UGAGUCAGUGCAUUGGUCAAG